CGCCGCGUGAGUGAUGACGGUCUUCGGAUUGUAAAGCUCUGUCUUUAGGGACGAUAAUGACGGUACCUAAGGAGGAAGCCACGGCUAACUACGUGCCAGCAGCCGCGGUAAUACGUAGGUGGCAAGCGUUGUCCGGAUUUACUGGGCGUAAAGGGAGCGUAGGUGGAUAUUUAAGUGGGAUGUGAAAUACCCGGGCUUAACCUGGGUGCUGCAUUCCAAACUGGAUAUCUAGAGUGCAGGAGAGGAAAGGAGAAUUCCUAGUGUAGCGGUGAAAUGCGUAGAGAUUAGGAAGAAUACCAGUGGCGAAGGCGCCUUUCUGGACUGUAACUGACACUGAGGCUCGAAAGCGUGGGGAGCAAACAGGAUUAGAUACCCUGGUAGUC
rnacentral:rRNA from 1 species